rnacentral:lncRNA from 1 species
AGUAUGAAGACAAGUGCUGAGGAGCCUUUUCCACAUGGAUCUGAGGCGAAUAGUUAAACACAAACCUCAACUGUGCUGUUGCCAACACUCUCCUUCCAUCUUAUUAGAGUGGGAGAUAGACAGAAAUAUCAAUUGCAAGGCACAUGGGAAAUCCUUUUUCCACCCAUCAUUGAUCAAACCACAGCUGGAGCAUUCUGCCUGGUUUUGGAUAUCAUACUUCAAGAGCAACGUGGCAUGCUUGGAGAGCAUCCAGCGCAGAACGUGUUCUUCCUUGUAAAGAACAUAACCUAUGAAGAAAAAGACCUUUUAUAGAAGACAUUUUGCUUUUUAUGACGUUUGUUUACCAUUUCUUACCAAAAUCAGAUUGUGCUGUGGAUAGCAAAGGGGCAACUCAUUGGUGUGUCAGACAGGGAUUUCCUUUCCUCUGCCUACAGAGCCCACCGCUCUUGAGUCUUGGCACUCUGUGUCCUGAGCACCCUGAAUGGAUCAUUCAUUCACACUCAUUCAGCAGAGUUUUUAUCAGCCUUCUAUUUCUGCAGAGUUACUUCCUUCCAGAUACACCAAGGUGGAAGCAAGAGAAAUCAGUGGAAGCUUUUCAACUGGAACAGAAAUCAGAGGUCUCAUUUGCUCGAAGAUGUUCAAAAGGAACAGAGCUGCUGGCGUGCUGA